rnacentral:lncRNA from 1 species
ACUCUUGCUUCAUUUUCUUGUGCUGAUUCUAUAGCUGUGAUGGUGGGAUGCUAGAUGAAGAACACAAAGACAACAGUGAAGUGAAUACAUUUAUAUUGAUGGGACAGAUGAAAAUUACUUAGUCUUUGGAAGAAGAAAGAGGAGUGCCUUAAGCUACUGUGUCUGUUCUGCCUUCUGUGGCUACAUAUGUCUCCAACCAGAGUGAUGCUUCCUAGCAGCAUGCAUCCUGCUUUAUGUCCACCCCCUGCCUUUUGAAUCACUAUAAAUUAAGCAAUGGCUGUGUGCACCAGCAAAAGGAAAGAGCCAACUUGGGACUGUGAAGAUAGUGAAAGGACACAAUAUUUUAAGGCCUCACUGACUAAAUCAGAAAAAGGAAAUCUACCUUGCUUCAUUAAAAAGAAAAAGGAAGCGAGCACAAAGAAGUUUCACAUGAAUCCAAGACAAAUGGAAUAGUGAAGAUUCACUGGGCAUCAUGUAUCAAAUUCUAUAUCACCUCUGAGUUAUACUGAUGCUUUUAAAAUAUA